GGGUGCGAGUACGUUAAGUACGGUAAUUACGUGGGACGUAAAGCGCAUGCAGGUGGUUUAGUUAAGUCAGAUGUAGAAACGGCCCGGGGCUACCAACCGUACGGUAAUUGCUAUUUAGAAACGUGGACAAACUAGAGUACUGUAGAGGGGGUAGAAUUUCAGGUGUAGCGGUGAAAUGCGUAGAGAUCUGAAGGAAUACCGGUGGCGAAGGCGGCCCCCUGGACAGAUACUGACACUCAGAUGCGAAAGCGUGGGGAGCAAACAGGAUUAGAUACCCUGGUAG
rnacentral:rRNA from 1 species